CCCUUAGAUGUCCUGGGCCGCACGCGCGUUACACUGAUGCAUUCAACGAGCUUAUAACCUUGGCCGAGAGGCCUGGGCAAUCUUGUUAACGUGCAUCGUGAUAGGGAUAGAUUAUUGAAAUUAUUAAUCUUGAACGAGGAAUUCCUAGUAAACGCAGAUCAUCAAUCUGCAUUGAUUACGUCCCUGCCCUUUGUACACACCGCCCGUCGCACCUACCGAUUGGAUGGUCCGGUGAAGCCUCGGGAUUGCGGUUCUUGCCGCUUUAUUGUAGCGUGACCGCGAGAACUUGUCUAAACCUUAUCAUCUAGAGGAAGGUGAAGUCGUAACA
rnacentral:rRNA from 1 species